rnacentral:lncRNA from 10 species
UGCAAAUUUGAUGCCGUUGUCAUAUGCCCAGUCGAUGCUGCUCCCGCUAGCUGGAUCUGUAAGUCGGAGGACAAAACACUCUUGAAGCCCAGUUCCCUCCUGGGUUAGAUGGGAAGGGGCCAAGAGCUCUGCCUGCCUGGGGUUCCUUAAGGAAUCCAGAGUUUGCUCCUCAAGUCAUCAGUCCUAUGACAAAAUCAUCAGCCUGAUCCCUAUGUCUCAGGACAUCCUGCAUUGGCCUGAGGUGCACACUGGUCUCAAAUCAAGAGAUCUGAAACCCCUACUCCCACCUUAUUACUAACGCUGUGUCCGUCCUGUAAGUCCCUCAAAACCAAUCUCUAUAGAGAGUAUAGUAGGCAGCCUCCAAGAUAGCCCCAAUGAUACUUGGAUCCCACAAGUCAGGUCUUUGUGCAGCUCCCUCCUACAUUAAAUAGGGCUGACCUCACUAGUGUAACUGACAGGAUGCUGCAGAAAUGAAGCUGUCUGACUUUCAAGGCCAGGUCAUAAAAGACACUGUGGCUUCUGCCUUGCUGUCUCUUGGAUUACUCACUCUGGAUAAGCCAGCUGUCAUGGUGUAAGGACAUUCAAGCAGGCCUCUACAGAGAUUCAUGAUAGUGAGGAACUGAGGUAGUGAAUGAAAAAUGCAAGCUGAUAUGGUUUGGCUGUGUCCCCACCCAAAUCUCAUCUUGAAUUGUAGCUCCCAUAAUUCUCAUGUGUUGUGGGAGGGACCCAGUGGGAGAUAAUUGAAUCAUGGGAGUGGUUUCCCCCAUACUGUUCUCGUGGUAGUGAAUAAGUCUCAUGAGAUCUGAUGGUUUUAUAAGGGGAAACCCCUUUUGCUUAGUUCUCAUUUGCUCUUUGCCCUGCUACCAUGUAAGACAUGCCUUUUGCCUUCUGCCAUGAUUGUGAGGCCUCACCAGCCACGUGGAACUGCGAGUCCAUUAAACCUCUUUUUCUUUAUAAAUUACCCAGUCCCAGGUAUGUCUUUAUCAGCAGUGUGAAAAUGGACAAAUACACAAGCCUUAGGUUGACUGAGGCCCUGGAAGACAUCUUGACUGCAGCCUCAUGAAGGAUCCUGAGCCAGAGCCAUCUAGCUAAACCAUUGAAUUCCUGCCCUACAGAAACUAAGAAAAUGGACGUUGAUUGUUUUAAGCUGCUAAGUUUUAGGAUUUUUUUUUUUAACAUGGCAAGAGAUAAUGGAUACGGAGAAGGGAGCACAGCCCUUGGGACUUACCUUUGCCAAAAGGCUUAUGAAGGGCAAGAGGUCCAUUUUUCUGCUUCUUACCAGUCAAACCCUACUAGCUCAGAAAUUGCCUAAGAUUACAAAGCAUAGAUAAUUUUUUCUUUUUUCUUUUUGAGACAAGGUCUCAGUCUGUCACCCAGGCUGGAGUGCAGUGGCAUAAUCACAGCUUACUGCAGCCUUGACCUCCUAGGCUCAAGUGAUCCUCACACCUCAGUCUCCCAAGUAGCUGGGACUACAGGCACAUAGCACUAUGCCCGGCUAAUUUAUUUAUUUGCAGAGAUGGGGUCUUACUAUGCUGCCCAGCUGGUGUCAAACUCCUGGACUCAAGUGAUCAUCCCACCUCAGCCUCCCAAGGUGCUGGGAUUAAAGGUGUGAAUCCCACGCCUGGCCUGGAUGACAUUAAAUAAUAAAAUGAUGUCAGUAGCAGCUACCAUCUGUUGAGCAGCUACUAUGAGCCAGGCAUUAUAUCAGACACUUCACACUUAUGAUCUACUAAUCUUUAAAAACUCAUUGAAGUAGGUUUUAUUGUCCUUGUUUUACAGAUGAGGAAAUCCAAGCUCAGAAUGGAUAAUUCACCUAAGGAAAUACAGAUGGAAAAUGGCAGAGCUGCAAUCUAAACCCAGGUCCAUCUGAUAAUAAAGCCCAGGCUCUCCUCAACCAACUUCAGAUCUAGGAUGCUUCCAGUGAGACUCCGUGCUCCCUCCCUGUGUGGUUCCCAUGGCCUUUCUUUACCUCAAGAAAAUGCAGAGUGAAAAGCAAUGGUAGCAGAAGUUUCUAGAAGUUACUUAUAUGGCAAGUGCAAGUAUUUCAGAACACAUUUGAGAUUCAGGAAGGAGGCAAAAAGGCUUCUGCUGAGCAGUCAAAAUGACGAAGUUUGUAAACUUCACUUUAUUUGGGUCCCUGCUGAAAGUCUACCUACUCUUUAAAAACAAUAACAACAACAAAAAAUGGGAACACACUAUUAACGCUGUUCUGCACAUGUAUUUUUCAAUUAACAAUUGGUGAGUAUUCCCUUUUAGCGCACAUAGAUCUACCUCAUUCAUUUAAGGGCUCUGUAGUGCUGCAUUGUGUGAAUGCACCAAAUGUGUAUUUAUCCUGCAUUCUCUAGGUGGACAUUUUAGACACUUACAAGGGUUGGGGCUCAGAAAGUGAUAUCCCAAAGGCUGAUGUUUUGACAUGCUGAGGGCCCUCAGAAGCCGCCCCCGAACCAAGGUCCCUCUAACUUCUUGUUCCCCAUACCUGCCCCACCACCAAACACAGGGAGGGACUGUCUGUCUUUGGAAAUUUCCUCAUCUGACCAAGAAAGCAUCUUUCCAAAAGAAAUGCAAUUGUCUUAAACACCCUCCCUAGAGGUCUCAUCAAAUAACCAAGAAAGAUAAACCACCAGAAGAGAUGAGACUGGGAAUCAUCACCACACCCAGACAGACUUCAUCUAUUCUUCUGAGAGCAGCUCCAAGAGAUUGCCUGGAGGACUUUAUCUGCUUAAUAAGACAAGCUUUGUUCCUGUACAGCUCCGCCCCUCACCUUCCUGUAAUAUCUGCCUCCCACCUCCCCAGUCCAUACAUCUCCUCCCUCCUGUAUGAAAAAGGGUAUACAAGCUUCUGUGCCCCAUUGGGUUAUUGGGAAAUCAUUCUCCUGUGAUUCCCCUGUGCCAUGCACACUAAAAUAAAAUUUUGUAUGCCUUUUCUCCUAUCGAUCUGCCUUUGG